GGAAAAGGCGUGAUGCGCUGCAUUUAGGAGCUGGUUUCACCUCCACCAAAUGCCUGGAUCUGGUUCUGGCUGGUCCAGAUCUAAACAUGAUAAUGGAUUGCACUUUCUUUCGUUAAAGCACUGCAUUGAUCGGAGAGGUGACUGGAGCUGGAGGGGACAAAUAAGGGAGGCAACCAGAGUCUCUCCUGAACUUCCCUCAGAGCUUCACCUGGAUUCAAACACAUGGACGAACACACCCUUGCUGCUAGCCAUUGCUCACUAGCUAACAGCUAAUUCGCAAUACUGUAAUAUCUUGCUCAAGGAUACUUCGACAUGCAACCGGGGGAGCUGGGGAUUCAGACCAGCAACCCCUCCGAAUGCUGAAUGACCUGCUCUAUCUCCUGAGCUGCAGCUGCCCCGACGUUUUACCACAUUUGUAGUAAUUCCCUGGAGGGUGUUCUUGAGAUAUCCUGUUCACACGAAUGGGCUGUACGUAAGGCCGGACAGACAA